GCGGAACACGUGUGCACUGCUUUAUCUGGGGGAUAGCCUUUCGAAAGGAAGAUUAAUACCCCAUAAUAUGUUGAAUGGCAUCAUUCGACAUUGAAAACUCCGGUGGAUAGAGAUGGGCACGCGCAAGAUUAGAUAGUUGGUGAGGUAACGGCUCACCAAGUCUACGACCUUUAGGGGGCCUGAGAGGGUGAUCCCCCACACUGGUACUGAGACACGGACCAGACUCCUACGGGAGGCAGCAGUGAGGAAUAUUGGACAAUGGGUGAGAGCCUGAUCCAGCCAUCCCGCGUGAAGGACGACUGCCCUAUGGGUUGUAAACUUCUUUUGUAUAGGGAUAAACCUACCCUCGUGAGGGUAGCUGAAGGUACUAUACGAAUAAGCACCGGCUAACUCCGUGCCAGCAGCCGCGGUAAUACGGAGGGUGCAAGCGUUAUCCGGAUUAUGGGUUAAAGGGGUCCGUAGGCGGAUCUGUAAGUCAGUGGUGAAAUCUCACAGCUUAACUGUGAAACUGCCAUUGGAUACUGCCAGGUCUNGAAGUGUUCGCGAACGUAAGCUGGNACUCACACGUCAGGUGGUAGCCGNGCGGAACUGCCUUCCGAU
rnacentral:rRNA from 1 species